CCCACCGCACCGGCGGCGCGUCCGUUCCUUCUCGCCGGCUGCAGCCCGGUCACCGGCACGACCGGCCCCCGGCGAGCUAGUUACCCUUCCUUCUGACUUAGGGUGACUUGCUGCCGCCCUCACCUCAGCCACCGCGUCUGGCAUCAGCAACCUCCGAGGCCUGCGGCCGGCUGCCCCUGCCCUCCCUCCUCUGCCCGCAUCGACCCCAGGAGCCUAAAUCUGGUGGUGUAAACAUGACAAGGAAAGCUGAUUUCAAGCAGAGACUGUGAGCGGUCCUAGCCCCAGCGGUCAGGCCGGUUAAGCGAUGGAGGCGGUGGGGUACCCGCAGGGAUGUGGAGCGGAGAGCUGCUCAGGGAGGUUUCUGCUGGGGCUGAGGGAAGGGGUCGUGCCUUACCCUGUCUCUCCAUAGUCGGGAGGAGGUUCCACACCUCCUCCUUGGUGGGUAUGCACAUAAAGUUCAGCAGGACCAGAAAAAUUGAGAUCACGUACUUUGAAAGUCCACAGUUGCUGCAGUUUCCAUCUUGGAAAUGCCAUGAGAAAUGCGAGCUUUCGUCACUGGUGUUCUCUGAUGCUUCUGCCUAUCCAACUGAUACUGAUCUAUGGCUUGCCAAUACUCCGGUGUAUUUGUAUCUUGCCUUAAAAUUAGGAGGUGAAACAAGUGAUAAAUGUGCUGCUUUGUGCCAUUUUUGAAAAGGGUGAGCAAUAUGACCCAAAUGACUAGUUAGCUUAAUAGCUAUCCUAACCAAAAUAGAAAAUCUGAUGUGGAAUUCAAAUAUAAAAAUUUGAAAGGAAGGAACGUAAUACAAAUCUACACAGUGUUUUACUAAAAGUAGCUGUUAAUACUGUUUUGAGGACAUACUUGACUCAGACUUAGUGCUGCAUGAUAUGAACAUUGGGUGCAUGCAGUGCCAAUAAACCAUGCAAAUGGAAUUUGCUGCCAGAUCUCAAGAAGAGGAAGUCUGUAGGAAAACUUAGUUGAAAGAGAUGGUGUCUGAAGAGGUUCCAAUAGUAGGUCCUGUGUUCUACGACAUUUUUAGCAAUGAUUUGGAAGCGGAUUUAAACCUGCUGCUACAAAAAUUCAUCUCCAGGUUCAAUGGAGUUCUAAAUAAUGAUGAGGAGGGGGCAGUGAUCAGAACAGUUUGUAGAAGCAUCCCAUUCAAACUUAGCGAAUUUUAAUCCAGCCAAAUAUAAAGCUGUCUAUCUUAAGAACCGAGUGUGGAGGCUGUAACUGGAGAAUAGAAGACUACAUCCUGGAAAGGAGCACCAUUUGUAACCAUAGCUGUUAUUACAAAUGAGGUCAUCCAUAUUAGAAUGAAGAUCUGCAGCCAAUAAAAAAUGUGUGGGUUGAAAACAUCCACAACAUCACCAAGAGCCGCCUUCUUUCAAUCUGCUGAAAAUGCCAGUGAGCCACCUCCCUUGGUCUUCCAUCUUCGGGAUAUUAUGUGCUCCCAGUCCUGGGGAGGGUCUCAGGGAAAAGGCUAGAUCAACUGAUGAGAAGUGCCAGAAAAGCUGUCAUCAAUGAAUACCUGCAUUUGUGAAUAAUUUCCAUGUAGCCUUUCAGAUGUGGGAACCUUGGCACCCAUGUAGAAAAAUAUUACUACAUUGAAUCCACUGAUGUUUCCUUACCGUGAACAAUUCAAAUAUGACGUAUAAACUGCCAGCACAGUCCUUGAUAAAACAAAAUUGAUACUCUGCAAAAGCUGUUUUUACACUCUUCCCCAUAUGGUCUAACUGCACGCCAAAUAAAAUCAUCGAGAAUAUAGGGUUAUAACAACAUUUGUUUGUUGUGCUUGAAAAUUGAUGUCAACGUCCUAUACACGUCCUCUAACUAUAGCAAAACAGUAAAAAAGUCACACCACA